GACGAACGCUGGCGGCGUGCUUAACACAUGCAAGUCGAACGGAAGGGCCCUGCUUUUGUGGGGUGCUCGAGUGGCGAACGGGUGAGUAACACGUGAGUAACCUGCCCUUGACUUUGGGAUAACUUCAGGAAACUGGGUCUAAUACCGGAUAGGAGCUCCUGCUGCAUGGUGGGGGUUGGAAAGUUUCGGCGGUUGGGGAUGGACUCGCGGCUUAUCAGCUUGUUGGUGGGGUAGUGGCUUACCAAGGCUUUGACGGGUAGCCGGCCUGAGAGGGUGACCGGCCACAUUGGGACUGAGAUACGGCCCAGACUCCUACGGGAGGCAGCAGUGGGGAAUAUUGCACAAUGGGCGGAAGCCUGAUGCAGCAACGCCGCGUGCGGGAUGACGGCCUUCGGGUUGUAAACCGCUUUCGCCUGUGACGAAGCGUGAGUGACGGUAAUGGGUAAAGAAGCACCGGCUAACUACGUG
rnacentral:rRNA from 1 species